AGCCAAAUCACAAGUCAUAUAUUGCUGUAAAAUAUGAAGAAGGCUAUUCUAAUUGCUUUUCUCAUUUGGGUUUCUGCCAUAUUUCUCUCCCUUCCCUCUCCCACUCAUGCACGUCUAUUACAAGAAAAGACAUCAGUAACCUCGCGAACGCCGGAGAAGAAUAAGCCUGCAAUAAAAUGUCCUCCUGGUUCUCCUUAUUCUUCUUGCCUUCCACAAAGGCCACCUCCAAAAGCUUCUUGCGAUCCCUAUACGCGUGGCUGUCAAAGGCCACCUCCAAAAGCUCCUUGCAAUCCCUAUGUGCGUGGCUGUCACAAGUAGGAAAUAAAAGAAAUAUACGAAUGAUAUGUAUAAGGUAUAAUAAUCAUAAUAUAUAGUCCUUUUGCUUGGUGGAGAUCAUAAUAACAAUCUCCUAAAAAUCCAUUAUUAAAUAAAUUACUGUCAUGUUUCUGUAUCAUGUGUGUUGUUUCAGCCUUUGGUUAUCAUUUCCCUUUUGAGGAAUAAUGUCUUCCUGCCUAGAUUAUUUCAUGGGAAGUCGAGGUUUAGGUUUCUCAUGAAUUCUAUGUACUUUGAGUGUGAGAAUUAUGUAAUUCUUAAAUUUAUGUGCUGGUGUUGUACUUGAAAUAAAGAAUUAACUCCACUCCUGGCCUUUUGGCUA